UGGUGUUAAUAGCGGCGGGGUCACACCUGAUCCCAUUCCGAACUCAGAAGUUAAGCCCGCCUGCGGCGAUGGUAUUGCAUGGGUGACUGUGUGAGAGAGUAG
rnacentral:rRNA from 1 species